UCAUCUUUCUCUAUCUACUACCACCUCUCACUCAUACGUUCUACACACAAACAUUCAUCUGUUUUCUUUUCUUUGAACAAGACCAAAAACAGAACAAGAGAAGCAUGAAGAGAACCUGCAAUUUUCUGCAGUUUGCAACAGUAUUUCAAAUUGACUUAUGGCUUAUUUUGGAUCGUUUUAAGGUUUUUAUGUGCUGUCUUUUGGAUUUUAAUGCUUUUCUGAAACAGAGAAACCUGUGAGAGAGAAAGCUACCGUGGAAGUUGAAUAUAUUGAAUCGGAGAACUUGAAUAAUGUCUUUCUAUAUUCCACAAGGAACCAAUGAUGCAUAUGCUGAACCUUUAUUUUCCGACAGCUUCCGCUACUGAUGCAAAAUGCGCAAGAAAUGGAACUGUCUUAUGGAAAUGCCAUACAGAUAGG